rnacentral:sRNA from 1 species
AAGCGAAGCCCUAAGAUGGGCGGAGAGAAGCAGAUGUGGAGGUGAUGGCGAAGACCCAGAUAUAAGCAGCUCCUCUAGGUGUUUGGAGAGUCUUCAAGUGGCCAGAUUUGGGCAGGCUACAUCUCUGCCUCUCUCUGGGGGCAACCAAGACUUGGAGCUAUUAGUAAUACAGCUGCCCUUAACCCCAGUGGCGAGGGUGAGAGAAGAGUGUUCCCUGCAUGGCCAAGAUACUCUUUUCUGCUGCAGAGGAAGUGUAGAGGGGAGAUAGAAGAACCCUUAUCAAGGAGGCUGAGCUGUGAGACUUUUUAGCCCAAAUCCAGGUGCAGAAGUCAAAUUUCGGUCUUCCCAGCCCAUUUCUGUCCCAGUCAAGGCAUGUAGCCUGGUGGAACCAAUCUCACCAAAACAGCUUCUCUCCUUAGGAGCUCCUGGGCUGCUGCGCUCCUCACAGCUCCGGGUCAUUAUGCCAGAAAAAAGAAGCCAAGAGGAGAGAUUUUAGGGGAGCACCCUGACAGAGAGGAGAGGCAGAGCGAGUUGCUAAGUAAAGCCCAUGCAUGCAUUUUC